rnacentral:rRNA from 1 species
GUGGGUAGUUUGACUGGGGCGGUCUCCUCCCAAAGCGUAACGGAGGAGCACGAAGGUUAGCUAAUCCUGGUCGGACAUCAGGAGGUUAGUGCAAUGGCAUAAGCUAGCUUGACUGCGAGCGUGACGGCGCGAGCAGGUGCGAAAGCAGGUCAUAGUGAUCCGGUGGUUCUGAAUGGAAGGGCCAUCGCUCAACGGAUAAAAGGUACUCCGGGGAUAACAGGCUGAUACCGCCCAAGAGUUCAUAUCGACGGCGGUGUUUGGCACCUCGAUGUCGGCUCAUCACAUCCUGGGGCUGAAGUAGGUCCCAAGGGUAUGGCUGUUCGCCAUUUAAAGUGGUACGCGAGCUGGGUUUAGAACGUCGUGAGACAGUUCGGUCCCUAUCUGCCGUGGGCGCUGGAGAAUUGAGGGGGGCUGCUCCUAGUACGAGAGGACCGGAGUGGACGCAUCACUGGUGUUCGGGUUGUCAUGCCAAUGGCACUGCCCGGUAGCUAAAUGCGGAAGAGAUAAGUGCUGAAAGCAUCUAAGCACGAAACUUGCCCCGAGAUGAGUUCUCCCUGAGACUUUAAGUCUCCUGAAGGAACGUUGAAGACGA